rnacentral:misc_RNA from 1 species
AGACAGUGGGUUUAUUAUCGAGUAUAAAAGUGAGGCUGUGGCAGAUUUCGCUGGCUUCCUCGGAGCCCGCUUGCCUCUCAAAUCUGUGCUGUUUGAAACAUUUAUCCAAAUUUUUCUUUCAUACAGCAUGGCUACAUCGAGUUCAGUGAGCCAGCUGUAUAAAACUGUAGUAGAGGAUGUAAUCAGCAACGUAAAGGAAGCCUUCCUCGACGAGGGAGUAGAUGAACAAGUGCUCACAGAGUUAAGACAGCUAUGGGAUACCAAGUUGACAUCCUCCAAGGCUCUAGAUGCACAGACUGCAGACCAAGACAUGAUUCCCAAAAUCUUUGUACCUCAUCAGCAGCCACAAGUGAUGGUGACUGGCACGACGGCGGUGCCGCAGGCCAUCCCUGUCCCCAUCCAGAUAGCAGCAGGAGCUGGCCAGGACAUGCUAAAGAGAAUUUCGAUUAGACCCCAAGGUGCAGCAGCGACAGCCACCAUGGCUCUGCCGCAGGGUCUGUUCCAGCACCAACUAGCAGCUCUCAACACAGCUGGAAACACCAUUCUGCAUACAGGUAACGGGCAGUACAUCCAGGUGUUAUCACAGCAUCUCCAGCAGGCUCCUCAAGCCACAACCAUCACAACUCUCCCCCAUCAAACUAUCCUCCAGAGUGGGCAGAUGCAAGCACAGGUCCCACAGAUGACCAACAUACAGAACGUUCAGCUUGCGCCAGGACAGCAGAUACGAGCACAAAAUCCUAAUGGCCAGGGGAUGGUACAGCUGGAUGGGGCUGGUGACACAAGUUCAUCUGAGGAUGAUGAGUACAACGACGAUGACGACAAUGAUGACAAUGAUGACGAGAACAAUGAGGAGGAAGAGCAGGGGGAAGAAGAGGAACCAUUGAACUCCGAGGAUGACGUGAGUGAGCAGGACCCUGACGAGUUGUUUGACACAGACAAUGUGGUUGUCUGUCAGUAUGACAAGAUAAACCGCAACAAAAACAAGUGGAAGUUUCAUUUAAAGGAUGGCAUAAUGAAUCUCAAUGGUCGUGACUUUGUGUUCCAAAAAGCAACAGGUGAUGCUGAGUGGUAGUGAGAGCUUGUGAUUCCUCAUUUGUACAGCGACUGUAUAUACAGUGUACAUAUCACACCGGACUCCUCACACAGAUUACAGAAGAAGUCAGUGGAGGUGGCUGGAGGGAGUCAAAUGGUCGUCAGGAUCUGCAAUAUUUCUACCAUGUUUGUUUUUGGGCCAUAAAUGAUACAAGUUAUUUUAUUGACUUUACAGAACGCUUCUGUUCUGUUCUGUUCUGAUCCCCAGUGCUACUAUCACAGCACAGAUUUGAUGUGAUGUUACAAUUAAUGAUUGAAGAUAUAUUCAGUUUGUAAUGAUUUGAUGCCUUGAUACAAAACAGACUGAUAUUUUUGUACUAUGGAGUUCCAAUGAGACUGUGCUAAUAGUAUUUGUUCAAUGCAGGAUGCACAACGUGCUGGUGUUGUUGUAAUUGAAUUCAAUGCUUAAUGACACAAUGAUAAAAUGUUCCUGUAUCUGUGACCCCUGUGGAGAUCCCAGGGCAGAGUAGGUUCCCAGUGUAAACCCUCCUGAGGCCAGAGUGUCCACUUGCCUUUUUAUCAAAGUCCUGUUUCCACCCUUGCCACUUUCAGCCCUCAUUUCCUGUGCUUGAUAUGAUUCAACUGUCGUACCUAUCGAUAGUCCAAUCACAGAACGUUUGGCAAAAUCAACAUCCACGACUGGUACACCUUUGUAUGAAAGUGAAUUACUGCUGCCUGUCUUCGUUAACACAAAUAUCAUCUUUUGAACCCCCCAACAAUUGCCUAUGUUUUUGUGUCGCGUGAAAUCACGGAUGUUUUUGUUAUCUGAUGGACUAGAUCAUCGCCUAUGGUAGUUGCCAUGUUUAUGAAGCUAUACAUGAUAAGACCAGCUCCUGAUUGGAUAUCGUGUUUUCAUUACAAGGGGCACAACUCGUGACCAAUGCGAGCCAAGAAAAGUGGCCUUGAUGCGGCAAGGUUAGAAACUAGGCCUUGAUAUAGGCUAGUGGACACGCCUUGAUGUGGCAAGGUUAGAAACUAGGCCUUGAUAUAGGCUAGUGGACACGCCUUGAUGUGGCAAGGUUAGAAACUAGGCCUUGAUAUGGGCUAGUGGACACGCCUUGAUGUGGCAAGGUUAGAAACUAGGCCUUGAUAUGGGCUAGUGGACACGCCUUGAUGUGGCAAGGUUAGAAACUAGGCCUUGAUAUAGGCUAGUGGACACGCCUUGAUGUGGCAAGGUUAGAAACUAGGCCUUGAUAUAGGCUAGUGGACACGCCUUGAUGUGGCAAGGUUAGAAACUAGGCCUUGAUAUGGGCUAGUGGACACGCCUUGAUGUGGCAAGGUUAGAAACUACAGUAGGCUUUGAUAUAGGCUAGUGGACACGCUUGCCUCUGGAAGAUGCAGUACACCAAGCUUUUGUACCAUUUGGGAAGAAUUAGACCACACUCAGUUCCAUUUGCCUGUGUCCUCCAUGGGAAGAAUAGGUCCCCAUGGUACCCCUUGCUUGUCAUAGGAGCCAACGUGAAUGAGGAUCACAGUGUCACUUAGAUGGUUGUGUGUCAUCCUACCUACACAGUGUGGAUGAAUGCUCUUGCAAUUGGUCACUGAUUUCUCUGGAUCAGAGUCUCUUAUGCCAGGCUAUUGUAUUACUGUUUACAGAUUUAUCUAACCGGUCAGCCUGAAUUUGUGUGGAUUGUAAAUAUCUUACGUUUGGGUUUGUCAGGUGUUUUUGGUUUAAAAAAAUUUAAUUUCAGUCGUGAAGAUUGGUAUUUAUACAAAACAUAUAUUUAUUUCGAAAAGGCUUUGUACUCUUUGUAAGGUGUUUGUACGGGCCAGAGGCUUCAUAAGAUGCAUUUGAUCCAAAACAAAAAUCAAAGUUAAUAAAUAGUUUUGUAUUAUUUAUUUUCUGAUCCAAAUUUUGAGUGGUGGGACAAAUAUGAAUAGAUUAUUGAAAGAAUAAGAAAUACAGCCUUGUGUACAGCCAGCCAUAUAUUUUCGGGAAACAUUGCAUAAAACAACCUUCACUCACUCCUGUAUGUGUUCCUUGAGUCAGGGUAAGAAUUAUCAAGAAAGCCUUGGCGUGAAAUCCAUGAUUCAUUUUGGACUAGUUCUCCCAGUAAUUGAGCUGGUAUCGUCGAGAAAAACUUCUAGUCCAUAUUGUUUUCCCGCAGCUUGGACAUGCAGACAGGUGUUGUAUGUCCAACCCUUAUGUGUGUUUGUGUGCAUAGGAAUGACAGGAGAGUAAUGACAGCAGUAAACAUGACUGUAACAUUAGUGGUCAACAUUUGCAAAUCUCUCUUCCAUUGUACUUCAGUUACAUAAUUAGUCCAUUUAUCAUGGUAAUCAUUCUGAAUGUGCGAGAAUGGCUAUUAAAUCAAAUUAUCGGUUACAUUUGAAGGGGUUUAAUGGUAUGAAAGAACACUUGAAACGGUGCAUGGUUUAAAUCAAAAUGGUAGAUGGGUUUGUUUGUAUAAAGUAAAGGUAGAGAAAUGUAUAUUGCAAUGAUUUUAUUUAAUGAAAAGUGUUGGGAGAUGAGUGUUGUCAUGUCCCUAUCAUUUUGUUGGUGAAAGGAUCUCUGAAGUUGUAGCACUUUCUGCAGUUGCAGGAGAGGUUGUCCAAAGAAGGCCUUUUGUAUAAACGUUUUAUGAAUGUUUACGAUCAAUCCAAUCACAAAGAAUGUAUGUUGUCUAAGUUUGUAAGUCAAGUGAAUGUUGCUACUAGUGUAAUAGCCUGUACAUUUGGUAUUUUGGCCAUAUGUAGUCAGUAUUGCCAUACCAUAUACCAUUCAAACAGGGAUUUACAUCGAGUUAUUUAUGUACCAGGGUGCCGUUGUACAAAACAACCUUAGCACUACGCCUGUCGUAAGUCUAUGUUAAGGUAUGGGAGUUACGAUCCCCUUAGCGCUAAGAUCGCUUUGUACAAUGGCACUCAGGACAACAUUCUGUGAGAAAGUCCUGUUCACUAGUUUCAGACUAGCUAACUGAUAACCUUGUAUAAGGUUAUGGUUGCCUUCGAUUAAAAUUUUAUUUGUUCGUC